CGCCCUCUCGGGCUACCAUUGGCUACCAGAUUCCCGAGGCUCCGCCCAGUCACGUGAAGAGCGCCCUGGCAACCCCACGUGCUGCGGAUUAGUGCACUUCCGGCGUGGAGCGCACUUUCAGCAGUCUGGUUGCCGAGGGUGAGCUCGCUGGCAGAGGAACUUGCGCCUUCCAACUCUUAGGUUUGUUGCGUUCGGGUCGCAGUCGACUUUAAUGGGAACCAAGCAAAGCACCCAAUGGCCCCUGCCAUCAGGUGCGUGGCAGUUAUCACAUGACGAUCGUCAGAACUCGCGAGGCGCGCAGAUUCAGCGAGUGCCAGUGUGGCUGGCUGUGAAGCGAACUUUGGGUUCGAGCUUCUGGUUCAGCUUGCAGCCUUUCUUGGGGUUCGAACCUCCUCCUGGUCCUUAAAGAAGAAUUCAGGUCCUCACCAGAAGCUAACUGA
rnacentral:lncRNA from 1 species